AAGGCUUGAGUUUUGACCUGUGGGCAUAACAAUCAUUUCGUUAUAAAUAGAUAGAGCUCUGGUUACGUGGCUUUUAUUCUGAGGCAAAACGCUGAGAACCACCCUAUGAGCAAAGCAGAGCAACAGUCCACCAUAUCCAAUCCACCUAACCACACCAAAGCAACGGAGAAAAGGCAGCACACCAACAAUCCACCAGUUCCCACCGGCAUAAUCAGAGCAUAGGAUCUAGAAAGAGCAAAUCGAACCCAGAUGUGGAAAAAUCGACGGAAAAACGAAGAAGGCUUCAAAUGCUCAGGUUGGAUUUGCAAGAGCGGGAGUUUCGUGCAGCUUAGCACCAUUUGAAGCCCCUACUAGAAUUCAUGGCAUUUAACUUCUCAAUGUUGUCGUUGGACCUUUGCUUUUGAGCAUUGUUUUUCAUACUAAUUCAUUAAUUCAGUUGUUUUUACUAUGUGCUACAUAAAGGCGUGAAAGUCAUACAACAAUUUCGCUGAAUCGAGACCCAAAUGGCGUAUAUAGGCGUGACUCUGUUCAAAUAACCCAUUAGCACGUUAAAGUUUAAGCAUCGAAAUAGCAAAGGCUAUAGCUAUUGCCCUCCAUACAAGUGGCAAGUUAACAAUUCAGUACACUUGGAGGCAGCCACGGAAUGCCGAGAGUGAAUUAUAAGGGAGGGGCAAGAGAUUAUUAUGUCAUUGGUGGUGCACAUAGGAAGCAGCAGUUGUAUUUGAAUCUAUCUGUUCGAUCUACUUUCCUGAUCCAUUUUCUGAUUCCGUAUUUGGUGAGUAUCGCUCCCAAAAAGCAUUUCUGUCCGCUCGAGCUGUUAUCUCAAGUUGAAAGCACAAGGUGGAAACAAAUCAACAAUGGAGGUCCAAGCAAGGGAAAAGUUUGGGAAAAACCUACUGUUUCUCCCCUAACCGAAUCUCAACAAAGUGUGUAUGGAGAAAGCUGUCAGUUGGCUCACGGUAUAACAGAGUUGCCCUGUGAUUAGGCAUCCACGCUACAAGACUGAGGUUACAGACGAAGAGAGAGAGCAGAGAUAUCAUGGGAUGGAAUCCAGAGUCAUUUAUGUUGUCCAAGAUAAAACAUAGCUGAAAUCAAACAUCAACACAAUUUUUAUCACUUUUUGGAUGAUAAUGGGAAAGCUGUAUGGCUUCUUUUUCGCACUAUCUUCGUAAAGAAUAUAAAUAUGGUGCCUCUUCUGGAGAAUUCAACUGCUUUUGAUUCACAAGAAGUUAGACUGUACCAGUCCUUGGACAGGGCCGUGCUUAUUCAUUUUGAAGACAUGUGCGUCAACACUCUAGAGGAGAAAAACCCUAAGGUUUUUGCUUCUACCAGAAACAUAUCAGGUGUGGAAACACAAGGCACAUCAGCAAGCGCAUCUUCAUAAGGAGGAGGAGGAGCUUGGAGGCAGAGAAUUAAUUGAUAGCCAGUGAAGCUGCUAGAAGGCAUGUUUUCAAAGGAUUUUUUUCCGAAUGAUACAGAUGACAUGACAAUUUCAAAUAUUCGCAUGAAGGAAUUUCACCAAGAGAGAUAUAUCAUGACAUGACAUAAAAACGAAGCAUCAUAUUGGUAGAGCUGUUGAUGUCGAGGUCUCAGAAUUCAGGCUUGUCAAAUCAAAGAUUUCUUGGGAAUAAUCAUACAUUAUAAGUUAAAUGAAAGACAAUUUUAAUGUUCC